AAUAGAUACCCCGGUAGUCCACGCCGUAAACGAUGAGUGCUAAGUGUUAGAGGGUUUCCGCCCUUUAGUGCUGCAGCUAACGCAUUAAGCACUCCGCCUGGGGAGUACGGCCGCAAGGCUGAAACUCAAAGGAAUUGACGGGGGCCCGCACAAGCGGUGGAGCAUGUGGUUUAAUUCGAAGCAACGCGAAGAACCUUACCAGGUCUUGACAUCCUCUGCCACUCCUAGAGAUAGGAGGUUCCCCUUCGGGGGACAGAGUGACAGGUGGUGCAUGGUUGUCGUCAGCUCGUGUCGUGAGAUGUUGGGUUAAGUCCCGCAACGAGCGCAACCCUUGUCCUUAGUUGCCAGCAUUCAGUUGGGCACUCUAAGGAGACUGCCGGUGACAAACCGGAGGAAGGUGGGGAUGACGCCAAAUCAUCAUGCCCCUUAUGACCUGGGCUACACACGUGCUACAAUGGAUGGUACAGAGGGUCGCGAAACCGCGAGGUGGAGCCAAUCCCACAAAACCAUUCUCAGUUCGGAUUGCAGG
rnacentral:rRNA from 1 species